AACACGUGGGUAAUCUACCCGAUGACCGGGACAACCCGAGGAAACUCGGGCUAAUACCGGAUGUGGUACGAGACAUAAGUCUCUUUACUAAAGGUAGCUUCGGCUUCCGCAUUGGGAGGGGCCCGCGGCCCAUUAGCUAGUUGGUGGGGUCAAGGCCUACCAAGGCAACGAUGGGUAGCUGGUCUGAGAGGACGAUCAGCCACACUGGGACUGAGACACGGCCCAGACUCCUACGGGAGGCAGCAGUGGGGAAUCUUGCGCAAUGCGCGAAAGCGUGACGCAGCAACACCGCGUGAGGGAAGACGGCCUUAGGGUUGGUAAACCUCUUUCAGAUGGGACGAAGGUGAUGCGGUGAAUAGCCGAUGUCAUUGACGGUACCGUCAGAAGAAGCUCCGGCUAACUACGUG
rnacentral:rRNA from 1 species